rnacentral:rRNA from 1 species
CUGUCUGCUAAUAGAUUCAGCGUUUUUUUGCGUUGGAACUUCUUCUUAGAGGGACUGGCGAUGAUUAGUCGCACGAGAUUGAGCAAUAACAGGUCUGUGAUGCCCUUAGAUGUUCUGGGCCGCACACGCGCUACACUGAAUAGAUCAGCUAGUUCUUCCCUUCCCGAGAGGGACGGGUAAUCUGCUGAACCCUAUUCGUGGUAGGGAUUGGGGUUUGCAAUUAUCCCCCAUGAACCAGGAAUCCCCAGUAAUCGCGAGUCAUCAGCUCGCGGUGAUUACGUCCCUGUCCUUUGUACACACCGCCCGUCGCUACUACCGAUUGAAUGUUUUAGUGAGGUCCUCGGAUUGUUUUCCUGGCGGUUCACGCUGCCUAGUUAACGAAAAGACGACCAAACUGUAGCAUUUAGAGGAAGUAAAAGUCGUAACAAGGUAUCCGUAGGUGAA